rnacentral:rRNA from 1 species
GAGUUUGAUCAUGGCUCACAUUGAACGCUGGCGGCAUGCCUUACACAUGCAGGUCGAACGGCAGCAUGAUCUAGCUUGCUAGAUUGAUGGCGAGUGGCGAACGGGUGAGUAAUACAUCGGAACGUGCCCUGUAGUGGGGGAUAACUAGUCGAAAGAUUAGCUAAUACCGCAUACGACCUGAGGGUGAAAGUGGGGGACCGCAAGGCCUCAUGCUAUAGGAGCGGCCGAUGUCUGAUUAGCUAGUUGGUGGGGUAAAGGCCCACCAAGGCGACGAUCAGUAGCUGGUCUGAGAGGACGAUCAGCCACACUGGGACUGAGACACGGCCCAGACUCCUACGGGAGGCAGCAGUGGGGAAUUUUGGACAAUGGGCGAAAGCCUGAUCCAGCAAUGCCGCGUGUGUGAAGAAGGCCU